rnacentral:rRNA from 1 species
GCUUUAACUGACGCUGAGGCACGAAAGCGUGGGUAGCAAACAGGAUUAGAUACCCUGGUAGUCCACGCUGUAAACGAUGAUUACUAGGUGUGGGGGGACUGACCCCUUCCGUGCCGGAGUUAACACAAUAAGUAAUCCACCUGGGGAGUACGGCCGCAAGGUUGAAACUCAAAGGAAUUGACGGGGGCCCGCACAAGCAGUGGAGUAUGUGGUUUAAUUCGAAGCAACGCGGAGAACCUUACCAGGUCUUGACAUCCAACUAACGAAGUAGAGAUACAUCAGGUGCCCUUCGGGGAAAGUUGAGACAGGUGGUGCAUGGUUGUCGUCAGCUCGUGUCGUGAGAUGUUGGGUUAAGUCCCGCAACGAGCGCAACCCUUGCUAUUAGUUGCUACGCAAGAGCACUCUAAUAGGACUGCCGUUGACAAAACGGAGGAAGGUGGGGACGACGUCAAAUCAUCAUGCCCCUUAUGACCUGGGCUACACACGUACUACAAUGGCCGUCAACAGAGGGAAGCAAAACAGCGAUGUGGAGCAAACCCCUAAAAACGGUCCCAGUUCAGAUUGCAGGCUGCAACCCGCCUGCAUGAAGUCGGAAUGCUAG